ensembl:lncRNA
AGCGCAUGCGCGCCCGCGGCGCUCCAUCCCAAACACACACACAUUUUUCCCCCGGACUUGGAAAGUCACCCAAAGCCGCCCCAAGUGCAGGGACCUCUUGAUUCUGGAGAGCAUCUUUUGUCUCCUGGGAUCAGGAUUGGAACAGGACCUCCUGAGGAAUGUGGAUACCUGAGGCUGUUGACCAUCUCAGCUUUCCUCUACUUAUUCCUCCCAUCGGUGGUCACUGGUUCGGUGGAUUUCCGUUUUCCUUUGUAAGCUUGGAAAAAAACACAUCUGGAUUGCACUGCUGUGCAUCUAAGUCCCGUCUGGAAAGAGAACCUCCUGGAAGCUCAUCCAUCCCUCUCUUGCUUCCUCCCCACCCGCUUCCCUCUCCUUCUCCUUGCCAAGCAGCGUGUUGUGUAGGUGUCAGACAGGCAUGGGUUCAAAUCUCUUCCUGGUAUGUGACCUUGGGUGGGUCACAUCCUUCUCUGAGUCUUCGUUCCUCAGCUAUCCAGUUAGGAUAAUAACCUGCCUCACUGGCUUCUUGUGAUGGUUAUUUGUAUUAAUGUAUUAAGGUCCUCAGCACAUAGUCCUUAAUAAACAUGAACUAUCAUUCUUUUCCUCCUCAACUAGGGCAGAAGCUAGAAACCAUUCCUCCUUUCUUUUCAUUUAGCCCUUUUGACUGAUUUAAUUUCUCAAGUACUUUUAGCACCUACUGUGUGCCAGCUACUUUUCUUAGCAUGUUACACAUAAUACAGUGUUUAAUCCUCAUAACCAUAUGCAGGAAGGGCAUUAUUACUUUCAUUUUAUUGAUGGAGAGACUGAGACACAGAGAAGUCAAAGGAGUUUGUUUGCCCAGGGUCACACAGCUUGUAAAUGGCAGCUCAAACCUGGCAGUCUGACUCCGAAGCUUGUACAUGAAAUUACUAUGGCCUCCUGUCCCAGUGAUCUGGUGAGGUGGUGUGUGUGUGCACACAAGCAUGUGUGUGUGCACUCGAGUUCCA